ensembl:lncRNA
GGGGCAGGCUGGGACAGGAGGGCAGGUUGCAGCGUGGCGCAGAAUGCUGACACUGCAACACGGGCCCUUCCUGCACCCAGCACAGGGGAGAGGGUGGGAAGACCAGGUCUAAGAACAGGUAGGAUACAAUAUGAGGAGGGGGAGACUGUAGGUAGACCGGGUCUAAGAACAGGUAGGAUACAAUAUGAGGAGAGGGAGACUGUAGGUAGACCGGGUCUAAGAACAGGUAGGAUACAACAUAAGGAGGGGGAGACUGUAGGUAGACCGGGUCUAAGAACAGGUAGGAUACAACAUAAGGAGGGGGAGACUGUAGGUAGACCGGGUCUAAGAACAGGUAGGAUACAAUAUGAGGAGGGGGAGACUGUAGGUAGACCGGGUCUAAGAACAGGCAGGAUACAAUAUGAGGAGGGGGAGGAGGUGGGGAGAUCAGGUCUAAGUCAGGUAGCAUACAAUACGAGGAGGGGGAGACCGUAGGGAGACAGGGUCUAACAGCUAGGACCCAAUAUGAGGAGUGGGGGAGACCGUAGGUAGAUAUGAGGGACCCCCAACAGGCUGAGUUUAAAAAGGGUUUUUCAGGCCUGAAUUGGAGGGGGAGAGUCUGAAGCCUUGGGUGCUAGUUUGUUAGUGUGCCGGUGUGAGUGUGUGCAGCGGAUGGAACGUGACUGCAGACAGGUAGGCAGGCCCCGGAUGCAGACAGGCGGAACGCAGAUGAGACGCACUGAUUGAUGAGUUGGCGUUGACGUGGUGACUCACUCUUCCAUUGCCUGUGAGCGCCCUACAGCUAUAGAGCUUUACAGUCACGCUGCCACGGCAACUUGUCGGGG